rnacentral:rRNA from 1 species
GUCUUGUAAUUGGAAUGAUGGGAAUUUAAACCUCUUCCAGAGUAUCAAUUGGAGGGCAAGUCUGGUGCCAGCAGCCGCGGUAAUUCCAGCUCCAAUAGCGUAUAUUAAAAUUGUUGCAGUUAAAAAGCUCGUAGUUGAAUUUCUGCUGCUUUGCAUUUUCUCCUUGACGAGUUUUUGCAUUGUGGCUUAUUUCGGAUUAUGCUUGCAUUUUCCGGAUGUUUACUUUGAGAAAAUUAAAGUGCUCAGAGCAAGCUUUUGCCUUGAAUAGUUUAGCAUGGAAUAAUAAAGUAAGACUUUGGUUCUAUUUUGUUGGUUUUAGGUACCAAAGUAAUGGUUAAUAGGAACAGUUGGGGGC